rnacentral:rRNA from 1 species
AUUGAACGCUGGCGGCAGGCCUAACACAUGCAAGUCGAGCGGAUGAAGGGAGCUUGCUCCUGGAUUCAGCGGCGGACGGGUGAGUAAUGCCUAGGAAUCUGCCUGGUAGUGGGGGAUAACGUCAGGAAACGGGCGCUAAUACCGCAUACGUCCUUAGGGAGAAAGUGGGGGAUCUUCGGACCUCACGCUAUCAGAUGAGCCUAGGUCGGAUUAGCUAGUUGGUGGGGUAAAGGCCUACCAAGGCGACGAUCCGUAACUGGGCUGCGAGGGUGAUCAGGUACACUGGAACUGAGACACGGUCCAGACUCCUACGGGAGGCAGCAGUGGGGAAUAUUGGACAAUGGGCGAAAGCCUGAUCCAGCCAUGCCGCGUGUGUGAAGAAGGUCUUCGGAUUGUAAAGCACUUUAAGUUGGGAGGAAGGGCAGUAAGUUAAUACCUUGCUGUUUUGACGUUACCAACAGAAUAAGCACCGGCUAACUUCGUG